rnacentral:rRNA from 1 species
GACGAACUGUGCAAACGUUAUUCGGAAUCACUGGGCUUGAAGAGUGCGUAGGCGGUUUUGUAAGUAGGGCGUGAAAGCCCCCAGCUCAACUGGGGAACUGCGUCCUAAACUGCGAGGCUGGAGUGAGGUAGGGGUGUGUGGAACUUCCGGUGGAGCGGUGAAAUGUGUUGAUAUCGGAAGGAACGCCGGUGGCGAAAGCGACACACUGGGCCUUGUCUGACGCUGAGGCACGAAAGCCAGGGGAGCAAACGGG